CUCAAAAAAGCAAGCCCUAGGCUCCUACUGCUGCAGCUGCGUGUCUUCUUCUGCUCCGCACCGCCGCCUCUGCAGCCUCCCCGACGAGAGACCGAGCGAGAUCCUCCUCUCCCCUGCGUCUGCCCCAUCGCCCGUCCUCGAGAUGGAGAGGGUGCUCAAGGAUGACGCCAUCCAGGAGAAGGCCGAGCGCGCCACGAUGGGAUCUUUUCUACGUGCCACGGCAAUCGCAGACUCAGUGAAGACCACAUUAUAUUGGGACCAAAAGCAACGGUACAAGCUGCUCACGGGGAAAAAAAUGUAGUUGGGCA